GACGAACGCUGGCGGCGUGCUUAACACAUGCAAGUCGAACGGAAAGGCCCUGCUUUUGUGGGGUGCUCGAGUGGCGAACGGGUGAGUAACACGUGAGUAACCUGCCCUUGACUUUGGGAUAACUUCAGGAAACUGGGGCUAAUACCGGAUAGGAGCUCCUGCUGCAUGGUGGGGGUUGGAAAGUUUCGGCGGUUGGGGAUGGACUCGCGGCUUAUCAGCUUGUUGGUGGGGUAGUGGCUUACCAAGGCUUUGACGGGUAGCCGGCCUGAGAGGGUGACCGGCCACAUUGGGACUGAGAUACGGCCCAGACUCCUACGGGAGGCAGCAGGGGGGAAUAUUGCACAAUGGGCGGAAGCCUGAUGCAGCAACGCCGCGUGCGGGAUGACGGCCUUCGGGUGGUAAACAGCUUUCGCCUGUGACGAAGAGUGAGUGACGGUAAUGGGUAAAGAAGCACCGGCUAACUACGUG
rnacentral:rRNA from 1 species